rnacentral:antisense_RNA from 2 species
GUGGGAGGGGGCUUGCUCCCGAUCGCGGUGGGUCAGCUACAGAUAAACUGGCUGUUCCACCGCGAUCGGGAGCAAGCCCCCUCCCAC